CUCGAUUAUCAUAUCAUCUCUCUCUGUUUCAAAACAAUUGUGGCUUUACAAUUUCAAUGUGAUUUAUUUAUUUAUAUAAGUUUACUAGUUUACCCUUGAAUGGUAAAAAGAUUUCUUAUUUUGUGUGAGAUGCAAAACGAAGGCUCUAAAUGGCCUUUGAAUUCAGCUGAAUUCAACGGUAAAGGUAAGCAUCUCACCUUCUACAAUAUGAAAAGCAAAGAUAAUAAGCCCUUCUUACAAUCUAGGGAUGUGUUAAAAAACCAGAGAUGAACAAGGCUUCGUUAAACAACUCGCGCAUGAUGAAGAACAAGGAUUCACUAUGUUAUCGCGUCAAGGUUCUUGCUGCUACUGUAUGAUUUAUGUGUCACAAA